GCUAGGCUCUAAGGUGCAUGUCUGCGCAGGGAGACAGCUAGGCUCUAAGGUGCAUGUCUGCGCAGGGAGACAGCUAGGCUCUAAGGUGCAUGUCUGCGCAGGGAGACAGCUAGGCUCUAAGGUGCAUGUCUGCGCAGGGAGACAGCUAGGCUCUAAGGUGCAUGUCUGCGCAGGGAGACAGCUAGGCUCUAAGGUGCAUGUCUGCGCAGGGAGACAGCUAGGGUCUAAGGUGCAUGUCUGCGCAGGGAGACAGCUAGGCUCUAAGGUGCAUGUCUGCGCAGGGAGACAGCUAGGCUCUAAGGUGCAUGUCUGCGCAGGGAGACAGCUAGGCUCUAAGGUGCAUGUCUGCGCAGGGAGACAGCUAGGCUCUAAGGUGCAUGUCUGCGCAGGGAGACAGCUAGGCUCUAAGGUGCAUGUCUGCGCAGGGAGACAGCUAGGCUCUAAGGUGCAUGUCUGCGCAGGGAGACAGCUAGGCUCUAAGGUGCAUGUCUGCGCAGGGAGACAGCCUAGCUGUUCAGCAGUCUGAUGGCCUGGCGGUAGAAGCUG